CAGUCGCCGCGGUAAUACGAAGGGUGCAAGCGUUAAUCGGAAUUACUGGGCGUAAAGCGUGCGUAGGCGGUGAGUUAAGUCUGCUGUGAAAUCCCCGGGCUCAACCUGGGAAUGGCAGUGGAUACUGGCUCGCUAGAGUGUGUUAGAGGAUGGUGGAAUUCCCGGUGUAGCGGUGAAAUGCGUAGAGAUCGGGAGGAACAUCAGUGGCGAAGGCGGCCAUCUGGGACAACACUGACGCUGAGGCACGAAAGCGUGGGGAGCAAACAGGAUUAGAUACCCGCGUAGUCCCUGUCUCUUAUAC
rnacentral:rRNA from 1 species